rnacentral:tRNA from 1 species
GGUGAGGUGGCCGAGUGGUUAAGGCGACAGCCUGCUAAGCUGUUGGGUUCGCCCGCGCGUGUUCGAAUCACGUCCUCAUCG